rnacentral:tRNA from 2 species
GCCGCAGAGGCCGAACGGGUAAGGCAGCUGGCUUCCACCCAGCAGGACGGGGUUCGAGCCCCCGCUGCGGCUCCA